rnacentral:tRNA from 1 species
CAGAAUAUAGCUCAAAAUAAAGUAUUUUGCUUACACCAAAAAGAUAUUUAUUAAAUUAAAUUACUCUGA